GUCGAGAAUCUUCCGCAAUGCGCGAAAGCGUGACGGAGCGACACCGCGUGAUGGAUGAAGUCCUUCGGGGCGUAAACAUCUUUUAUAAAGGAGGAAAUUUUUGACGUUACUUUAUGAAUAAGGGGCUCCCAAUCUCGUGCCAGCAGGAGCGGUAAUACGAGAGCCUCAAGCGUUAUCCGGAAUCAUUGGGCGUAAAGGGUGCGUAGGUGGUUUGAUUAGUCUCCCGUUAAAACUUCGAGCUUAACUCGAAAAGAGCGGGGGAAACGGUCAAACUAGAGUAUGUGAGAGGUGUGUGGAACUCAUGGUGUAGGGAUGAAAUCCGUUGAUAUCAUGGGGAACACCAAAAGCGAAGGCAGCACACUGGCACAUCACUGACACUGAGGCACGAAACCUAAGGUAGCGAAUGGGAUUAGAAACCCUAGUAGUCC
rnacentral:rRNA from 1 species